rnacentral:rRNA from 1 species
GAUGAACGCUGGCGGCGUGCCUAAUACAUGCAAGUCGAACGAAACUUCUUUAUCACCGAGUGCUUGCACUCACCGAUAAAGAGUUGAGUGGCGAACGGGUGAGUAACACGUGGGCAACCUGCCCAAAAGAGGGGGAUAACACUUGGAAACAGGUGCUAAUACCGCAUAACCAUAGUUACCGCAUGGUAACUAUGUAAAAGGUGGCUAUACUACCGCUUUUGGAUGGGCCCGCGGCGCAUUAGCUAGUUGGUAGGGUAAAGGCUUACCAAGGCAAUGAUGCGUAGCCGAAUUGAGAGGUUGAUCGGCCACAUUGGGACUGAGACACGGCCUAAACUCCUACGGGAGGCAGCAGUAGGGAAUCUUCCACAAUGGGCGAAAGCCUGAUGGAGCAACGCCGCGUGGGUGAAGAAGGUCUUCGGAUCGUAAAACCCUGUUGUUAGAGAAGAAAGUGCGUGAGAGUAACUGUUCACGUUUCGACGGUAUCUAACCAGAAAGCCACGGCUAACUACGUG